GUCCCUAGCUCUACAGGAAGAGCUCCACCUUGACAGGGUGGCGCUCUCUGGUUCGAACCCAAUCAGGGGCA
rnacentral:tRNA from 1 species